rnacentral:rRNA from 1 species
AACGAACGCUGGCGGCAUGCCUAACACAUGCAAGUCGAACGAGACCUUCGGGUCUAGUGGCGCACGGGUGCGUAACGCGUGGGAACCUGCCCUUAGGUUCGGAAUAACUCCCCGAAGGGGGUGCUAAUACCGGAUAAUGUCUUCGGACCAAAGAUUUAUCGCCUUUGGAUGGGCCCGCGUUGGAUUAGCUAGUUGGUAGGGUAAAAGCCUACCAAGGCGACGAUCCAUAGCUGGUCUGAGAGGAUGAUCAGCCACACUGGGACUGAGACACGGCCCAGACUCCUACGGGAGGCAGCAGUGGGGAAUAUUGGACAAUGGGCGAAAGCCUGAUCCAGCAAUGCCGCGUGAGUGAUGAAGGCCGUAGGGUUGUAAAGCUCUUUUAUCCGGGAUGAUAAUGACAGUACCGGGAGAAUAAGCACCGGCUAACUCCGUG